rnacentral:rRNA from 1 species
GUGAAGUCGGAAUCGCUAGUAAUCGUGAAUCAGAAUGUCACGGUGAAUACGUUCCCGGGCCUUGUACACACCGCCCGUCACACCAUGGGAGUGGGUUGCACCAGAAGUAGCUAGUCUAACCUUCGGGGGGACGGUUACCACGGUGUGAUUCAUGACUGGGGUGAAGUCGUAACAAGGUAGCCGUAGGGGAACCUGCGGCUGGAUCACCUCCUUA